GGCCUCUCCCCGCUUGGCUGCUGGGCAUCCCGCCGCUCCUCAGCCACGGCUGGAGCCACGAUCAGCCGGGAGGAGCACCGUCAGGGCGGCCGCGAGUGGGCAGCCCCGCUUCCUGCCGGCGACACGU
ensembl:scaRNA